rnacentral:rRNA from 1 species
CGGCCGCCUGUUUAUCAAAAACAUGUCUCUUUGAUUAUAUAAUAUAAAGAGUUAGACCUGCCCGGUGAAUUUAUUUUUAACGGCCGCAGUACUUUGACUGUGCAAAGGUAGCAUAAUUAUUUGCCUUAUAAUUGAAGGCUUGUAUGAAUGGUUUGACGAGAAUAAUUCUGUCUUAAUUUAAAUUUUUAGAAUUUAACUUUUAAGUGAAGAGGCUUAAAUUUAAUUGAUAGACAAGAAGACCCUAUCGAGCUUUAAUUUUAUAAAUAAAUGUAUAUUAAAAUAUUAUCUAUAAAUUUUAGUUGGGGUGACUGAGGAAUAUAUAUAGUUUCCUUGUUUUUUUUAAAUAUUAUUUAAUAUUGAUCCAUUAUUUAUGAUUAAUAGAUUAGUUACCGUAGGGAUAACAGCAUAAUCUUUUUUGAGAGUUCAUAUCGAAAAAUAGGUUUGUGACCUCGAUGUUGGAUUAAAAUAUCCUAAAGGUGUAGAGGCUUUUAAAGGUUAGUCUGUUCGACUAUUAAAAUUUUACAUGAUCUGAGUUCAAAC